GAUGAACGCUGGCGGCGUGCCUAAUACAUGCAAGUCGAGCGAACAGACGAGGAGCCUGCUCCUCUGACGUUAGCGGCGGACGGGUGAGUAACACGUGGAUAACCUACCUAUAAGACUGGGAUAACUUCGGGAAACCGGAGCUAAUACCGGAUAAUAUAUUGAACCGCAUGGUUCAAUAGUGAAAGACGGUUUUGCUGUCACUUAUAGAUGGAUCCGCGCCGCAUUAGCUAGUUGGUAAGGUAACGGCUUACCAAGGCAACGAUGCGUAGCCGACCUGAGAGGGUGAUCGGCCACACGGGAAGUGAGACACGGUCCAGACUCCGACGGGAGGAAGCAGUAGGGAAUCUUACGCAAUGGGCGAAAGCCUGACGGAGCAACGCCGCGUGAGUGAUGAAGGUCUUCGGAUCGUAAAACUCUGUUAUUAGGGAAGAACAAAUGUGUAAGUAACUAUGCACGUCUUGACGGUACCUAAUCAGAAAGCCACGGCUAACUACGUG
rnacentral:rRNA from 1 species